AACGAACGCUGGCGGCAUGCCUAACACAUGCAAGUCGAACGAGACCUUCGGGUCUAGUGGCGCACGGGUGCGUAACGCGUGGGAACCUGCCCUUAGGUUCGGAAUAACUCCCCUAAAGGGGUGCUAAUACCGGAUAAUUUCUUCUGACCAAAGAUUUAUCGCCUUUGGAUGGGCCCGCGUUGGAUUAGCCAGUUGGUAGGGUAAAAGCCUACCAAGGCGACGAUCCAUAGCUGGUCUGAGAGGAUGAUCAGCCACACUGGGACUGAGACACGGCCCAGACUCCUGCGGGAGGCAGCAGUGGGGAAUAUUGGAAAAUGGGCGAAAGGCUGAUCCAGCAAUGCCGCGUGAGUGAUGAAGGCCUUAGGGUUGUAAAGCUCUUUUACCCGGGAUGAUAAUGACAGUACCGGGAGAAUAAGCUCCGGCUAACUCCGUG
rnacentral:rRNA from 1 species